rnacentral:lncRNA from 1 species
UCUCACAUCUAAAUCUAAUUUAGUUUUGAUAAAAUAAAGAUUUUAAAAUUAAAUUUUAAUAUAUUCCUUGUCAAGAGAAUCUAUUCUUAUCCAAAUCAACCUCUCCAUGCCAACUUAUAUUUUUCUCGUAAUAUGUGUGACAUUUUGAAGUGAUUUUUAGUGAGAAAUCAAUUAGAGAACUAAUUUACUAUAGAAAAAUAUGGCAAGGGAUGUCUCAUAUAUUUUUGGUAUGUUUUGGCAUAAAUUUUUGAGU